GAUGAACGCUGGCGGCGUGCCUAAUACAUGCAAGUCGAGCGAAAAGACGAGGAGCUUGCUACUCUGACGGUAACGGCGGAAGGGUGAGUAACAUGUGGAUAACCUACCUAUAAGACUGGGAUAACUUCGGGAAACCGGAGCUAAUAACGGAUAAUAUAUUGAACCGCAUGGUUCAAUAGUGAAAGACGGUUUUGCUGUCACUUAUAGAUGGAUCCGCGCCGCAUUAGCUAGUUGGUAAGGUAACGGCUUACCAAGGCAACGAUGCGUAGCCGACCCGUGAGGGUGUAGCGCCACAGUGGAACUGAGCCACGGCACUGACACCGACAGGAGGCAGCAGUAGGGAAGCUUCCGCGCUGGGCGAAAGCCUGACGGAGCAACGCCGCGCGAGUGAUGAAGGUCUGCGGAUCGUAAGACGCUGUUAGUGUUGAAAAACAAUUGUGUAAGUGACUAUGCACGUCUUGACGGUACCUAAACAGAAAGCCACGGCUAACUACGUG
rnacentral:rRNA from 1 species